CCCUUAGAUGUUCUGGGCCGCACGCGCGCUACACUGACUGGUGCAACAAGUGUCGCUCCUUGGCCGAUAGGCCUGGGCAAUCUUUGAACGCCAGUCGUGAUGGGGAUAGAUUCUUGCAAUUUUUGAUCUUCAACGAGGAAUUCCUAGUAAACGCGAGUCAUCAACUCGCAUUGAUUACGUCCCUGCCCUUUGUACACACCGCCCGUCGCACCUACCGAUUGAAUGGUCCGGUGAACCCUCCGGAUCGGCCCGCGCCAACGCAAGUUGAACAAAGGCCGAGAAGUUGGGUAAACCUUACCAUUUAGAGGAAGGUGAAGUCGUAACA
rnacentral:rRNA from 1 species